rnacentral:rRNA from 1 species
CGAAGCUUUUCAGUAGUUUACUACAGAAAAUGACUGAGCGGCGAACGGGUGAGUAACGCGUGAGCAACCUACCUUAGUUACUGGGAUAGCCCGAGGAAACUCGGAUUAAUACCGGAUAUUCUUAUUUAAUCACAUGAUUUUUUAAGGAAAGGUCAGCCGAACUAAGAUGGGCUCGCGUUCUAUCAGCUAGUUGGUAGGGUAAUGGCCUACCAAGGCUACGACGGAUAGCUGGUCUGAGAGGACGAUCAGACACACUGGGACUGAGACACGGCCCAGACUCCUACGGGAGGCUGCAGCAGGGAAUAUUGCGCAAUGAGCGAAAGCUUGACGCAGCGACACCGCGUGUGGGAUGAAGGAUCUAGGUUUGUAAACCACUUUCAGGAGGGAAGAAAAUGACGGUACCUCCACAAGAAGCCCCAGCCAACUACGUGCCAGCAGCCGCGGCAAUACGUAGGGGGCGAGCGUUGUCCGGAUUUAUUGGGCGUAAAGAGCUCGUAGGCGGUUCAACAAGUCGGUCGUGAAAGUUCAGGGCUCAACCCUGAAAUGUCGAUCGAUACUGUUGUGACUAGGAUACGGUAGAGGUGAGUGGAAUUCCGAGUGUAGCGGUGAAAUGCGUAGAUAUUCGGAGGAACACCAAUUGCGAAGGCAGCUCACUGGGCCGCUAUCGACGCUGAGGAGCGAAAGCUAGG